rnacentral:rRNA from 1 species
AUUGAACGCUGGCGGCAUGCCCUACACAUGCAAGUCGAACGGUAACAGGUCUUCGGAUGCUGACGAGUGGCGAACGGGUGAGUAAUACAUCGGAACGUGCCCGAUCGUGGGGGAUAACGAAGCGAAAGCUUUGCUAAUACCGCAUACGAUCUACGGAUGAAAGCAGGGGACCGCAAGGCCUUGCGCGAACGGAGCGGCCGAUGGCAGAUUAGGUAGUUGGUGGGAUAAAAGCUUACCAAGCCGACGAUCUGUAGCUGGUCUGAGAGGACGACCAGCCACACUGGGACUGAGACACGGCCCAGACUCCUACGGGAGGCAGCAGUGGGGAAUUUUGGACAAAGGGCGAAAGCCUGAUCCAGUCAUGCCGCGUGCAGGAUGAAGGCCUUCGGGUUGUAAACUGCUUUUGUACGGAACGAAAAGACUCUGGUUAAUACCUGGGGUCCAUGACGGUACCGUAAGAAUAAGCACCGGCUAACUACGUG